rnacentral:rRNA from 1 species
UACGUAGGGUGCGAGCGUUGUCCUGAAUUAUUGGGCGUAAAGAGCUCGUAGGCGGUGUGUCACGUCGGCCGUGAAAACCUGCAGCUUAACUGUGGGCGUGCGGUCGAUACGGGCAUCACUGGAGUUCGGCAGGGGAGACUGGAACUCCGAGUGUAGAGGUGAAAUUCGUAGAUAUUCGGAAGAACACCGGUGGCGAAGGCGGCGACCUGGGUCGACACUGACGCUGAGGCGCGAAAGCGUGGGGAGCAAACAGG